UACGUAGGCAGCGAGCGUUGUUCGGAGUUACUGGGCGUAAAGGGUGUGUAGGCGGUUUUCUAAGUUUGGUGUGAAAUCUCCCGGCUCAACCGGGAGGGUGCGCCGAAAACUGGGAGACUAGAGUGCGGGAUGGGAGAGUAGAAUUCCUGGUGUAGCGGUGAAAUGCGUAGAUAUCAGGAGGAAUACCGGUGGCGAAAGCGGCUCACUGGACCAUAACUGACGCUGAGGCGCGAAAGCUAGGGGAGCAAACAGG
rnacentral:rRNA from 1 species